rnacentral:misc_RNA from 1 species
CCCAAGCCCCGACAGCAGUGGAAAUCCUUCUGCGCCUGGGUUCGGCGCAGAAGAUUGCUUCGCCAGUUCGCUUUCGCUCGGGUGCAACGGAUAGCGGGAAAAAGC